GACGCAUUCAACUUUUUAGCGUUAGCCAUCUCUAGUCUCCGUCUCUAAUUCCUCAUUGUAGGCUUCCUCAUUCUCUUGCUGGAUACGAUCCAGGUCACAAUGUCUCCGCACUCUGCGUCUCUCUUCUAGCAAUUAUAUUUCUCUCGUUUUUGCCGCUUCAAUCCAUCGGAUGCCUUCUCAGCUGCUGCACGUAGUCCUUCUGUUGAUUUCGAAAUU
ensembl:ncRNA F53F4.24 ncRNA